rnacentral:lncRNA from 1 species
CCUUGCAGGUGAACAGCUAUAAUUUAAACAGCACGGUAUCAACAACAUAUGUUAAUUAUGUAAUUUGCUUCUGGGAACCACAGAGCUUCCCUUGAUGUUGUUAAUCUCUUCUUAUCAGCUCAACUCCUUUCUGUCUUUCUUAGGAUAUGACGGCAAACUCCAAAAGGACAAGAGCAUGUCCCACGAGCCUAACAAGACACAGCAAUGCAGGACAGGUGCAAGGAAACAGAAGUGUUCUGAGAGGAAGAACUAAUCUGAGAACUUGAAUAAGUUUCCUAUGCAUGCCAGCUCACCUCUAAACCUUGCUAAGUCUCCUCCUUAAUGUAAGAAGUGCACUUCUAAAUUAAUUCUAAAUCCAUUGGUAUUAUUCCCAUAAAACAAUUCUGCAUAUACAGUAUUGUCACAGAAUGGUAAAAAAAAUGUAUGUGGGCUGAAGCAAUAAUGUUAUAUUGAUGUUGCCACUUUACAGGUGGUGAAAUGUAUAAAUAAUGUGUAAAAAGUUUAGUUUGAACUUUUUCCUAUUUUUCCCUUCAUCAGGGUGAAAUUGCAUGGACUAUGACUAGAAAUAUUUGCAAUACAUAACGUGGUUCACUAAAGGGAGAUGGUAGUGGACUGCGGCUCCCAGCAUUCUUGACGAGGGGAUAUGCUGGCUAGGCCUGAGGGCAGUUGCCGUGCAGGGCCUCCGUUUGCCUUCCUCUGAUACCAACAGUGACCUCACAAUAAGUCAGGUUUUCUGAAAACUACAGUAGGUGGAGAAAUUUUCACAGGGCAGUAUAAUGUUGGAUGCACUUCAUCAGUGUGAUGUCUUGGGGCCCCCUAUCCUCGAUAUAUCAUUGUUCCGGCAUGGCUGACAGUGGAAUCUAAUCACUCCAAGAUUAAAAUAUGGAAAUAUCUAAGCAGGCAUGAGUACCUCUCUAAAGAAAGAAUGUCAUUUUCCUUACUCGGAGGAUAGGAUAGAUAUUAUUGAUUAAAAGAUUGGCAAUUGGCCUGACUUUAACAGAACUGAAGAGCAAGGAACCUGGCUUUGUUUCUGUGUUUCAAAACAUUUUACCAUCCUGCAUUUUGCUCGAUGAGGUGUUAGCACCCUUUAAUUUGCACUUGGGAACAGCCCUGAAGUUUUAGAAGGAACACGGGCCAUGGACAACAGAGGCAUCGGCUUUGACCAAGGACAGAAUAGGAGUACAUUCUUUUCCAGAGAAGUGAAAACUGUGUACUGGCAUCGAAGACUAAGAACGACAUAAUCUGCAGGCAGA